CCUGGGGAGUACGGCCGCAAGGUUAAAACUCAAAUGAAUUGACGGGGGCCCGCACAAGCGGUGGAGCAUGUGGUUUAAUUCGAUGCAACGCGAAGAACCUUACCUGGUCUUGACAUCCACAGAACUUUCCAGAGAUGGAUUGGUGCCUUCGGGAACUGUGAGACAGGUGCUGCAUGGCUGUCGUCAGCUCGUGUUGUGAAAUGUUGGGUUAAGUCCCGCAACGAGCGCAACCCUUAUCCUUUGUUGCCAGCGGUCCGGCCGGGAACUCAAAGGAGACUGCCAGUGAUAAACUGGAGGAAGGUGGGGAUGACGUCAAGUCAUCAUGGCCCUUACGACCAGGGCUACACACGUGCUACAAUGGCAUAUACAAAGAGAAGCGACCU
rnacentral:rRNA from 2 species